AUAGCGUAUAUUAAAGUUGUUGCAGUUAAAAAGCUCGUAGUUGAACUUCGGGCCUGGCCGGGUGGUCCACCUAACGGUGUUGUACUGUCUGGCCGGGCCUUACCUCUUGGUGAGCCGGCGUGCCCUUUACUGGGUGCGUCGGGGAACCAGGACUUUUACCUUGAGAAAAUUAGAGUGUUCAAAGCAGGCAUUUGCCCGAAUACAUUAGCAUGGAAUAAUGAAAUAGGACGUGCGGUUCUAUUUUGUUGGUUUCUAGAGUCGCCGUAAUGAUUAAUAGGGACAGUUGGGGGCAUUAGUAUUCAGUUGCUAGAGGUGAAAUUCUUGGAUUUACUGAAGACUAACUAUUG
rnacentral:rRNA from 1 species